GGGUAAGAGCAUUCUGCACAAAUGAUUGGAAAAACAAGUGCAUUACUGUAUAGAAUAGAACAUGUUACACAAACAAGUACCACCAUAGAACAAAAGUCCCGCAACUGUUUCCAUCUUUUUGUGAGGUGGAGCAGAGAGCACCAGUUCUCCAGUAUCCUCACAACUCAUUAUUAUUAUUAUUAUUAUUAUUAUUGUUGUUGUUGUUGUCCUGUAUCUCACAGCCCAUAUUCUUCCUGAGUAAAUAAGUGAAACACACAUUGUUUUACAUGAAUGCUGGACAGAGUUGUGUUUCUGAGUUAAAAAAUAUAUUUGUGGGGGGUCUGGAUAGAUCAGUGAGUAUUGACGAUGACUAUAAUCACUGGAGUCGCGAGAUCUAAUCCAGGGCCUGCUGAGUGACUCCAGUCAGGUCUCCUAAGCAACCAAAUUGGCCCGGUUGAUAGGGAGGGUAGAGUCACAUGGGGUCACCUCCUCGUGGUCGCUAUAAUGUGGUUCCUGCACGUGGUGAGUUGUGUGUGGAUGCUGCAGAGAAUAGCGUGAAGCCUCCACACGUGCUACGUUUCCACGGUGAUAAGAUGCUACGUCAAGCCACGUGACAAGUUGCACGGAUUGAGCGCUUUGGGAACGGGGCAUUCCAAAUUGGAGAGAAUAGGGGAGAAAAUUUUUAAAAAUGUGGUUGUAAAGAGUAGCACCUCUAGUUUCGUUUGAUAUGCUGCUUUAAAUACUUCGGGGGGGUUUACACUGUGGCACGCUGAUAAACAUGAAGUACUCGGAUGAGUGCUGUGGAGUGGUUCCAAAAUCAUCUUCAUUAUUUUGAACAACUUUUCACAAAUCUUUUGGUCAUUUUGCUUCAUUUUAAUCUAAAUUUUGUUAUAUUAUUUUUUGUUCACACUGUACAAUAAGGUGCUAUUAAUUUAUUUACUGUGCAAUUAUCACAUUGAGAAUAAAUGAGUUCAUGCAAAAGCUGGGAAAUGUGGCUUUCAGAGGCUUUAUAUGGAGUUAGGAUGUAAAUAAGGUGCAUUUCAAACUGUUCUGAGACCAGUGCAGACAGACAGCACACUGGAGGUUAAGUCAUGCACUAAAUAGGGAGCAAGGGAGCAUCCUAUAGCUCUCCUAUAACUGUUCUGAGACCAGUGCAGACAGACAGCACACUGGAGGUUAAGUCAUGCACUAAAUAGGGAGCAAGGGAGCAUCCUAUAACUCUCCUAUAACUGUUCUGAGACCAGUGCAGACAGACAGCACACUGCAGGUCAAGUCAUGCACAAAAUAGGGAGCAAGGGAGCAUCCUAUAGCUCUCCUAUAACUGUUCUGAGCACAGUGCAGACAGACAGCACACUGGAAGUUAAGUCAUGCACUAAAUAGGGAGCAAGGGAGCAUCCUAUAACUCUCCUAUAACUGUUCUGAGACCAGUGCAGACAGACAGCACACUGGAGGUUAAGUCAUGUACUAAAUAGGGAGCAAGGGAGCAUCCCAUAACUCUCCUAUAACUGUUCUGAGACCAGUGCAGACAGACAGCACACUGGAGGUUAAGUCAUGUACUAAAUAGGGAGCAAGGGAGCAUCCUAUAACUCUCCUAUAACUGUUCUGAGACCAGUGCAGACAGACAGCACACUGCAGGUCAAGUCAUGCACAAAAUAGGGAGCAAGGGAGCAUCCUAUAACUCUCCUAUAACUGUUCUGAGACCAGUGCAGACAGACAGCACACUGGAGGUUAAGUCAUGCACUAAAUAGGGAGCAAGGGAGCAUCCUAUAACUCUCCUAUAACUGUUCUGAGACCAGUGCAGACAGACAGCACACUGGAGGUUAAGUCAUGCACUAAAUAGGGAGCAAGGGAGCAUCCUAUAGCUCUCUAUAACUGUUCUGAGACCAGUGCAGACAGACAGCACACUGGAGGUUAAGUCAUGCACUAAAUAGGGAGCAAGCGAGCAUCCUAUAGCUCUCCUAUAACUGUUCUGAGACCAGUGCAGACAGACAGCACACUGGAGGUUAAGUCAUGCACUAAAUAGGGAGCAAGGGAGCAUCCUAUAACUCUCCUAUAACUGUUCUGAGACCAGUGCAGACAGACAGCACACUGGAGGUUAAGUCAUGCACUAAAUAGGGAGCAAGGGAGCAUCCUAUAACUCUCCUAUAACUGUUCUGAGACCAGUGCAGACAGACAGCACACUGCAGGUCAAGUCAUGCACAAAAUAGGGAGCAAGGGAGCAUCCUAUAACUCUCCUAUAACUGUUCUGAGACCAGUGCAGACAGACAGCACACUGCAGGUCAAGUCAUGCACAAAAUAGGGAGCAAGGGAGCAUCCUAUAACUCUCCUAUAACUGUUCUGAGACCAGUGCAGACAGACAGCACACUGGAGGUCAAGUCAUGCACUAAAUAGGGAGCAAGGGAGCAUCCUAUAGCUCUCCUAUAACUGUUCUGAGACCAGUGCAGACAGACAGCACACUGCAGGUCAAGUCAUGCACAAAAUAGGGAGCAAGGGAGCAUCCUAUAACUCUCCUAUAACUGUUCUGAGACCAGUGCAGACAGACAGCACACUGGAGGUUAAGUCAUGCACUAAAUAGGGAGCAAGGGAGCAUCCUAUAACUCUCCUAUAACUGUUCUGAGACCAGUGCAGACAGACAGCACACUGCAGGUCAAGUCAUGCACAAAAUAGGGAGCAAGGGAGCAUCCUAUAACUCUCCUAUAACUGUUCUGAGACCAGUGCAGACAGACAGCACACUGCAGGUCAAGUCAUGCACAAAAUAGGGAGCAAGGGAACAUCCUAUAGCUCUCCUAUAACUGUUCUGAGCACAGUGCAGACAGACAGCACACUGGAAGUUAAGUCAUGCACUAAAUAGGGAGCAAGGGAGCAUCCUAUAACUCUCCUAUAACUGUUCUGAGACCAGUGCAGACAGACAGCACACUGGAGGUUAAGUCAUGCACUAAAUAGGGAGCAAGGGAGCAUCCUAUAACUCUCCUAUAACUGUUCUGAGACCAGUGCAGACAGACAGCACACUGCAGGUCAAGUCAUGCACAAAAUAGGGAGCAAGGGAGCAUCCUAUAACUCUCCUAUAACUGUUCUGAGACCAGUGCAGACAGACAGCACACUGCAGGUCAAGUCAUGCACAAAAUAGGGAGCAAGGGAGCAUCCUAUAACUCUCCUAUAACUGUUCUGAGACCAGUGCAGACAGACAGCACACUGCAGGUCAAGUCAUGCACAAAAUAGGGAGCAAGGGAGCAUCCUAUAACUCUCCUAUAACUGUUCUGAGACCAGUGCAGACAGACAGCACACUGCAGGUCAAGUCAUGCACAAAAUAGGGAGCAAGGGAGCAUCCUAUAACUCUCCUAUAACUGUUCUGAGACCAGUGCAGACAGACAGCACACUGGAGGUUAAGUCAUGCACUAAAUAGGGAGCAAGGGAGCAUCCUAUAACUCUCCUAUAACUGUUCUGAGACCAGUGCAGACAGACAGCACACUGCAGGUCAAGUCAUGCACAAAAUAGGGAGCAAGGGAGCAUCC